GAUGAACGCUAGCGGCAGGCCUAACACAUGCAAGUCGAGGGGUAGAAGUCUUCGGACUUUGAGACCGGCGCACGGGUGCGUAACGCGUAUGCAAUCUGCCUUACACUAAGGGAUAGCCCAGAGAAAUUUGGAUUAAUACCUUAUAGUAUAUGACAGGGACAUCCCUAACAUAUUAAAGUUCCAACGGUGUAAGAUGAGCAUGCGUCCCAUUAGCUAGUUGGUGUGGUAACGGCACACCAAGGCAAUGAUGGGUAGGGGUCCUGAGAGGGAGAUCCCCCACACUGGUACUGAGACACGGACCAGACUCCUACGGGAGGCAGCAGUGAGGAAUAUUGGUCAAUGGGCGCAAGCCUGAACCAGCCAUGCCGCGUGCAGGAUGACGCAUCUAUGGUGUGUAAACUGCUUUUGUACGGGAAGAAACCCUGCCACGUGUGGCAGAUUGACGGUACCGUAAGAAUAAGGAUCGGCUAACUCC
rnacentral:rRNA from 1 species